rnacentral:misc_RNA from 1 species
GAUGAAGAACGCAGCGAAAUGCGAUAAGUAAUGUGAAUUGCAGAAUUCAGUGAAUCAUCGAAUCUUUGAACGCACAUUGCGCCCCUUGGUAUUCCGAGGGGCAUGCCUAUUCGAGCGUCAUUAUCACCCCUCAAGCUCCGGCUUGGUGUUGAGGCCUGCUGUAAAGGCACCCUCUAAAAUCAGUGGCAGUGCUGUCAGGUUCUAAGCGUAGUAAUUCUCUCGCUACAGGGUCCCGGUGGACACUCGCCAGAACCCCCCCAUUUUUUAAUGAUUGACCUCGGAUUAGGUAGGGAUACCCGCUGAACUUAAGCAUAUCAAUAAGCGGAGGA